CCUACGGGAGGCAGCAGUGGGGAAUCUUGCGCAAUGGGCGAAAGCCUGACGCAGCCAUGCCGCGUGAAUGAUGAAGGUCUUAGGAUUGUAAAAUUCUUUCACCGGGGACGAUAAUGACGGUACCCGGAGAAGAAGCCCCGGCUAACUUCGUGCCAGCAGCCGCGGUAAUACGAAGGGGGCUAGCGUUGCUCGGAAUUACUGGGCGUAAAGGGAGCGUAGGCGGAUAGUUUAGUCAGAGGUGAAAGCCCAGGGCUCAACCUUGGAAUUGCCUUUGAUACUGGCUAUCUUGAGUAUGGGAGAGGUAUGCGGAACUCCGAGUGUAGAGGUGAAAUUCGUAGAUAUUCGGAAGAACACCAGUGGCGAAGGCGGCAUACUGGCCCAUUACUGACGCUGAGGCUCGAAAGCGUGGGGAGCAAACAGGAUUAGAUACCCUGGUAGUCCACGCUGUAAACGAUGAGUGCUAGUUGUCGGCAUGCAUGCAUGUCGGUGACGCAGCUAACGCAUUAAGCACUCCGCCUGGGGAGUACGGUCGCAAGNUUAAAACUCAAAUGAAAUUGACGG
rnacentral:rRNA from 1 species